GAACGCGGCGGCAUGCUUACACUGCAAGUCGAACGGCAGCACGGGUGCUUGCACUGGUGGCGAGUGGCGAACGGGUGAGUAAUACAUCGGAACAUGUCCUGUAGUGGGGAAUAGCCCGGCGAAAGCCGGAUUAAUACCGCAUACGAUCUACGGAUGAAAGCGGGGGACUUCCGGGCCUCGCGCUAUAGGGUUGGCCGAUGGCUGAUAGCUAGUUGGUGGGGUAAAGGCCUACCAAGGCGACGAUCAGUAGCUGGUCUGAGAGGACGACCAGCCACACUGGGACUGAGACACGGCCCAGACUCCUACGGGAGGCAGCAGUGGGGAAUUUUGGACAAUGGGCGAAAGCCUGAUCCAGCAAUGCCGCGUGUGUGAAGAAGGCCUUCGGGUUGUAAAGCACUUUUGUCCGGAAAGAAAUCCUUGGCUCUAAUACAGUCGGGGGAUGACGGUACCGGAAGAAUAAGCACCGGCUAACUACGUGCCAGCAGCCGCGGUAAUACGUAGGGUGCGAGCGUUAAUCGGAAUUACUGGGCGUAAAGCGUGCGCAGGCGGUUUGCUAAGACCGAUGUGAAAUCCCCGGGCUCAACCUGGGAACUGCAUUGGUGACUGGCAGGCUAGAGUAUGGCAGAGGGGGGUAGAAUUCCACGUGUAGCAGUGAAAUGCGUAGAGAUGUGGAGGAAUACCGAUGGCGAAGGCAGCCCCCUGGGCCAAUACUGACGCUCAUGCACGAAAGCGUGGGGAGCAAACAGGAUUAGAUACCCUGGUAGUCCACGCCCUAAACGAUGUCAACUAGUUGUUGGGGAUUCAUUUCCUUAGUAACGUAGCUAACGCGUGAAGUUGACCGCCUGGGGAGUACGGUCGCAAGAUUAAAACUCAAAGGAAUUGACGGGGACCCGCACAAGCGGUGGAUGAUGUGGAUUAAUUCGAUGCAACGCGAAAAACCUUACCUACCCUUGACAUGGUCGGAAUCCUGCUGAGAGGUGGGAGUGCUCGAAAGAGAACCGG
rnacentral:rRNA from 1 species